CCUACGGGAGGCAGCAGUGAGGAAUCUUGGUCAAUGGUCGGGAGACUGAACCAGCCAAGCCGCGUGAGGGAUGAAGGUACAGAGUAUCGUAAACCUCUUUUGUCAGGGAACACAGGCGGGGACGUGUCCCCGGAUGAGUGUACCUGAAGAAAAAGCAUCGGCUAACUCCGUGCCAGCAGCCGCGGUAAUACGGAGGAUGCGAGCGUUAUCCGGGUUUAUUGGGUUUAAGGGGAGCGCAGGCGGUCUGUUAAGUGAGCGGUAAAAGCCCGGGGCUCAACCCCGGCCCGCCGUUGAAACUGGCAGUCUCGAGUUGGAGAGAGGUAUGCGGAAUGCGCGGUGUAGCGGUGAAAUGCAUAGAUAUCGCGCAGAACUCCGAUUGCGAAGGCAGCAUGCCGGCUCCACACUGACGCUGAGGCACGAAAGCGUGGGUAUCGAACAGGAUUAGAUACCCGUGUAGUC
rnacentral:rRNA from 1 species